rnacentral:rRNA from 1 species
CGGAGGCAGCAGUGAGGAAUCUUGCGCAAUGGGGGAAACCCUGACGCAGCAACGCCGCGUGAGUGACGAAGGCCUUCGGGUCGUAAAGCUCUGUCAGAUGGAAAGAAUUAGUUCGCUGAAAAUAUUGGCGAGUGAUGACGGUACCAUCAGAGGAAGCACCGGCUAACUCCGUGCCAGCAGCCGCGGUAAUACGGAGGGUGCAAGCGUUGUUCGGAAUUAUUGGGCGUAAAGCGCGUGUAGGCGGGAAGGCAGGUCAGGUGUGAAAUCCCUUGGCUUAACCAAGGAACUGCAUCUGAAACCAUUUUCCUCGAGUACGAUAGGGGAGGGCGGAAUUCCCAGUGUAGAGGUGAAAUCCAUAGAUAUUGGGAGGAACACCAGUGGCGAAGGCGACCCUCUGGAUCGAUACUGACGCUGAGACGCGAAAGCGUGGGUAGCAAACAGGAUUAGAUACCCCUGUAGUCU